UGGAAAAUGAUGUCAUCUUGGUCACUGAUUCCACAAGUUUCCAUCAGAAAAGUUUUUUUUGGCCCUUCUACAUUUUAAAUUAAAUGAUAUGCGCAAGUAAAAGUUUCAAAACAAAAGUUCCUUUUGCCACUUAGGCCCAAAGCAUGUGCAACUUACGGUUGUGUCUCUACUUAAGUGUGCCAUUAUCUUUUUUCUUGGUUCACUGAUGGGUUAUACCGAAAAUUCUAAAUUUUGAAAUUGGUUGAGCUAGCAUACAUGCAUGUCCGAGCUACAACGAAGAGUGCCGUUGAGUUAUCAUUAUUUUGGAACAUACAACUUUGCACCAAAAUUCGACACUGUAUUUACUAGAGACUUGUUUAAGUGGAAAGAAUGGAGUUUCUUCCAGUUGCUAGCUACACAAACAAUAUGUUCUAUGUGGAAGGUGAGUAUUAUGGUACCCUGUAUUUUUUUGAAAAAUAUUUCUCUCGCUGUUAUUUUGUUUAAAAAAUAUUUGUAGUUAUACAAAAUUAAUGUUUGUAGUAUACAAGAUAGUUAAAAAGCUACAGAUAACAGUGUAAACUCAUGUUGCCAACUUUUCCUUCAUGCACUAAAUCGGCUCAGGGAUCAAACCUUUCUAAGUGAGACGUACAAAUUUAAAGUUUUCGAACCAUACUUUAUUUAAUUUGAUAGCAGAACUUAUCUUUCUUGGAAAAUAGUAAAAGAGAUAAUUGGAUUUGCCUUUGCAAUUGUUUACUAGAGACUUGUUAUUAAAAGGAACGAAUAAGGUUUCUUCCUGUUGCUGGUUAGCAUGCGACCAGUGCAGCUGUGCGGAUGUGUGGCAUGUGCAACUAUAUUGUUAGUUUGGCGCAUAAAGAAACAAUCGAUAAUUGAUUGUCUGCGCCACAUUUAAAGCAGGAGAUCGUGCCAGCAGAGGCCAUGUGCUUGUCUUUCCUUCCUCGGAGAUAUUUAUGUCAAACCUUUUUUUAUUAUUGUUUAACAACUUUUCAAUUUUUUACAUGAUUGUAAACUUAAUUUUCAAUUCUCAUAUGAAACACAUUGAAAUAGACUACCACUUCGUUUGAGAAAA